AUGCUUAACACAUGCAAGUCGAACGGAAACGAUGGAAGCUUGCUUCCAGGCGUCGAGUGGCGGACGGGUGAGUAAUGCUUGGGAAUCUGCCUAAUAGUGGGGGAAAACACGGGGAAACUCGUGCUAAUACCGCAUAAUCUCUACGGAGGAAAGGGGGCCUCUACAUGUAAGCUCUCGCUAAUAGAUGAGCCCAAGUCAGAUUAGCUUGUUGGUGAGGUAAAAGCUCACCAAGGCUACGAUCUGUAGCUGGUCUGAGAGGACGAUCAGCCACACUGGGACUGAGACACGGCCCAGACUCCUACGGGAGGCAGCAGUGGGGAAUAUUGCACAAUGGGCGCAAGCCUGAUGCAGCAAUACCGCGUGUGUGAAGAAGGCCUUAGGGUUGUAAAGCACUUUCAAUAGAGAAGAAAAGCUUAGAGUUAAUAACUCUGAGCAUUGACGUAACCUAUAGAAGAAGCACCGGCUAAAUCCGUGCCAGCAGCCGCGGUAAUACGGAUGGUGCGAGCGUUAAUCGGAAUUACUGGGCGUAAAGCGCGCGUAGGCUGUUUUAUAAGUCGGAUGUGAAAUCCCCGGGCUCAACCUGGGAACUGCAUCCGAAACUAUUUAACUAGAGUAUGGGAGAGGUAAGUAGAAUUUCCGGUGUAGCGGUGAAAUGCGUAGAUAUCGGAAGGAACACCAGUGG
rnacentral:rRNA from 1 species